UACGAAGGGGGCUAGCGUUGUUCGGAAUUACUGGGCGUAAAGCGCACGUAGGCGGACAUUUAAGUCAGGGGUGAAAUCCCAGAGCUCAACUCUGGAACUGCCUUUGAUACUGGGUGUCUUGAGUAUGGAAGAGGUGAGUGGAAUUCCGAGUGUAGAGGUGAAAUUCGUAGAUAUUCGGAGGAACACCAGUGGCGAAGGCGGCUCACUGGUUCAUUACUGACGCUGAGGUGCGAAAGCGUGGGGAGCAAACAGG
rnacentral:rRNA from 1 species